CAAUAGCGUAUAUUAAAGUUGUUGCAGUUAAAAAGCUCGUAGUUGAAUUUCUGGUGGGCGCGCCGGUCUUCCAAGUGUUGUACUGGGCGCAGUCCGCCAUCCUUGUGGAGAGGGCUCGCAUUGAGUUGCGUGUCGGAUCUGCAUCAUUUACUGUGAAAAAAUUAGAGUGUUUAAAGCAGGCUGUCGCUUGAAUACAUUAGCAUGGAAUAAUAAGACAGGACUUCGGUCUAUUUUGUUGGUUGCGAACCGAGGUAAUGAUUAAUAGGGAUAGUUGGGGGUAUUCAUAUUUAAUUGUCAGAGGUGAAAUUCUUGGAUUUAUGAAAGAUGAACAACUGCGAAAGCAUUUACCAAGGAUGUUUUCAUUAA
rnacentral:rRNA from 1 species